AACGAACGCUGGCGGCAUGCCUAACACAUGCAAGUCGAACGAGACCUUCGGGUCUAGUGGCGCACGGGUGCGUAACGCGUGGGAACCUGCCCUUAGGUUCGGAAUAACUCCCCGAAAGGGGUGCUAAUACCGGAUAAUGUCUUCGGACCAAAGAUUUAUCGCCUUUGGAUGGGCCCGCGUUGGAUUAGCUAGUUGGUAGGGUAAAAGCCUACCAAGGCGACGAUCCAUAGCUGGUCUGAGAGGAUGAUCAGCCACACUGGGACUGAGACACGGCCCAGACUCCUACGGGAAGAAGAAGUGGGGAAUAUUGGACAAUGGGCGAAAGCCUGAUCCAGCAAUGCCGCGUGAGUGAUGAAGGCCUUAGGGUUGUAAAGCUCUUUUACCCGGGAGGAUAAUGACAGUACCGGGAGAAUAAGCUCCGGCUAACUCCGUG
rnacentral:rRNA from 1 species